AAACUCCCAAGUUAUCUGCCUGGUCUGUAUUGUUCAUUUGGAAGAGAUCUCAGUUCAGCAUUUGUUUGGGGCUCGCUGGAGCUGUACUCUAACACAGUUUUCCAUUUUUGCAGGUACUGGUUUUGGAUUAGGAAUGGUUUUCUCCCUCACCUUCUUUAAGAGAAGAAAGUGGCCAUUAGCCUUUGGUUCUGGCGUGGGACUGGGGAUGGCCUACUCCAACUGUCAGCAUGACUUUCAGGCUCCAUAUCUUCUACAUGGAAAAUAUGUCAAAGUAAGUACAGAAUUGAUGGCUUUCCCUUGACCGAAUUCUCUAAAAUUUUUACUAAUUUUAUUGUUUUAUGUUUAUGUUUAUUUUACGAGUUUUGCAUAUAUGUCUGUGUACCAUGUGCAUGCUGGUACCCAUAGAGGCCAGAAGAAGUGGAUGAGGUUCCCUGGGACGGAGAUAUAGAUGCUUGUGAGCCACCGUGUGGGCGUUGCACCAGAGUCCUCUGUAAGAACAUUCAGUGCUUCUGCCUGAUGUCAGUGCAAGAAGCCAACCGCUGCGACCUGGUGGCAGGCUGCUCCACUGCUGUGUCUUCCUGGCAGCAGAGCUUGGCUGAGGGUGGGCAGCAAGGAGCAGGCAGAGCCUUGGGACUUUGCAUUGUUGUGUUUCCAGUGUUCCAAGCUGAGUUGUGCUGGAGGACGGAUCAGAGGUGAUUCUGCUAUGAGAUGGUUAAUGGCUGGGAGGUACUGUGGAAAGUCUUACAUUUCCUACAGCCAUGCACAUGCUGCUCUAAAAUGGCCUUGUAACUUCAUUUGGACUUGAGUCUGUGCCUGGAUGUUGUCAUCCGUCUCUGCCUAGGAACCAAAUCCCACUGGAG
rnacentral:lncRNA from 1 species